UGGGGAAUAUUGCACAAUGGGCGCAAGCCUGAUGCAGCCAUGCCGCGUGUAUGAAGAAGGCCUUCGGGUUGUAAAGUACUUUCAGCGGGGAGGAAGGGAGUAAAGUUAAUACCUUUACUCAUUGACGUUACCCGCAGAAGAAGCACCGGCUAACUCCGUGCCAGCAGCCGCGGUAAUACGGAGGGUGCAAGCAUUAAUCGGAAUUACUUGGCGUAAAGCGCACGCAGGCGGUUUGUUAAGUCAGAUGUGAAAUCCCCGGGCUCAACCUGGGAACUGCAUCUGAUACUGGCAAGCUUGAGUCUCGUAGAGGGGGGUAGAAUUCCAGGUGUAGCGGUGAAAUGCGUAGAGAUCUGGAGGAAUACCGGUGGCGAAGGCGGCCCCCUGGACGAAGACUGACGCUCAGGUGCGAAAGCGUGGGGAGCAAACAGG
rnacentral:rRNA from 1 species